CCUACGGGAGGCAGCAGUGGGGAAUAUUGCACAAUGGGGGAAACCCUGAUGCAGCAACGCCGCGUGAGUGAUGACGGCCUUCGGGUUGUAAAGCUCUGUCUUCAGGGACGAGAAUGACGGUACCUGAGGAGGAAGCCACGGCCAACUACGGGCCAGCAGCCGCGGUAAUACGUAGGUGGCGAGCUUUGUCCGGAUUUACUGGGCGUACAGGGAGCGUAGGCGGACUUUUAAGGGAGAUGUGAAAUACUCGGGCUCAACUUGAGUGCGGCAUUUCAAACUGGAAGUCUAGCGGGCAGGAGAGGCUACUGGCCUUCCUAUUGUAGCGGUGAACUGCGUAGAGAUUAGGCAGUCCCCCAGUGGCGCAGGCGAUUCUCUGUACUGUACCUGACGCUGAGGCUC
rnacentral:rRNA from 1 species